CUCCCCACACAGGAGGAGAGCAGUCUUGCCUGAAACAAUCCUUUCCUGUAGCUGAUAACUUUCUUGCUCACCUCCUUCUAGAAAAACUUUUCUUUUGUAUGGCAAUCAAAAGCAUAGUGUCAGGCAGUUGGGAUCAGAAAAGC